UACAGGGGGAUAACACUUAGAAAUAGGUGCUAAUACCGCAUAAGCGCACGGUUCCGCAUGGAACAGUGUGAAAAACUCCGGUGGUAUACGAUGGAUCCGCGUCUGAUUAGCCAGUUGGCGGGGUAACGGCCCACCAAAGCGACGAUCAGUAGCCGGCCUGAGAGGGCGAACGGCCACAUUGGGACUGAGACACGGCCCAAACUCCUACGGGAGGCAGCAGUGGGGAAUAUUGCACAACGGGGGAAACCCUGAUGCAGCGACGCCGCGUGAGUGAAGAAGUAUUUCGGUACGUAAAGCUCUAUCAGCAGGGAAGAAAAAAAGUCCUUUGGACUUUGGACGGUACCUGACCAAGAAGCCCCGGCUAACUACGUGCCAACAGCCGCGGUAAUACGUAGGGGGCAAGCGUUAUCCGGAUUUACUGGGUGUAAAGGGAGCGUAGACGGCAGCGCAAGUCUGGAGUGAAAUGCCGGGGCCCAACCCCGGAACUGCUUUGGAAACUGUGCAGCUGGAGUGCAGGAGAGGUAAGCGGAAUUCCUAGUGUAGCGGUGAAAUGCGUAGAUAUUAGGAGGAACACCAGUGGCGAAGGCGGCUUACUGGACUGUAACUGACGUUGAGGCUCGAAAGCGUGGGGAGCAAACAGGAUUAGAUACCCUGGUAGUCCACGCCGUAAACGAUGAUUACUAGGUGUCGGGGGGCCAAGGCCCUUCGGUGCCGCCG
rnacentral:rRNA from 1 species